GCGGGGCUAGUCUAAUGGUAGGACAGAAGCUUCCCACGGUCUCGUGACCGCCGGAUGCGGGCCGGAAUGAGCUUCUAACGCGGGUUCGAUUCCCGCGCCCCGCA
rnacentral:tRNA from 1 species